rnacentral:rRNA from 1 species
AUUGAACGCUGGCGGCAUGCCUUACACACGCAAGUCGAACGGCAGCACGGGUGCUUGCACCUGUGGGCGAGUGGCGAACGGGUGAGUAAUACAUCGGAACAUGUCCUGUAGUGGGGGAUAGCCCGCCGGAAGCCGGAUUAAUACCGCAUACGAUCUACUGAUGAAAGCGGGGGGCUUGCGGGGUUCGCGCUGUAGGGGUGGGACAUGGCUGAUUAGCUAGUUGGUGGGGUGAAGGCCUACCAAGGCGACGAUCAGUAGCUGGUCUGAGAGGACGACCAGCCACACUGGAACUGAGACACGGCCCAGACUCCUACGGGAGGCAGCAGUGGGGAAUUUUGGACAAUGGGCGAAAGCCUGAUCCAGCAAUGCCGCGUGUGUGAAGAAGGCCUUCGGGUUGUAAAGCACUUUUGUCCGGAAAGAAAUCCUUGGCCCUAAGACGGUCGGGGGAUGACGGUACCGGAAGAAUAAGCACCGGCUAACUACGUG